AACCUGCGGAAGGAUAUUAUCGAGUUUUGAAAUCGAGGGUCUGUGCUGGUGCGGAAACGUACAUGUGCACGACCUUUGUAUUCAAAUCCAUUUAAACCCCUGUGCACUUUGACGGUUGAAGUUAGUAGUUAGUAACACUUUUUUCGACUGCGUAGACUUAGUACUUGUGAGUAUACAAGUAGGACGGCCUUGUAAUGGGGCCGUUUGAACGUUGAAAGCAAGGAAACCGUUGAAAGGUAGAAAGAGGUGUGAAGGCGAGCGCUUUGACUUAGUUGUAUUAUAAACGUUUCUAUUGUUAUGUGAAUGUAAUGCUCCUUGUGGGCGAUAAUUGAAGUACAACUUUCAACAAUGGAUCUCUAGGCUCUCGCAUCGAUGAAGAACGCAGCGAAAUGCGAUAAGUAAUGUGAAUUGCAGAAUUCAGUGAAUCAUCGAAUCUUUGAACGCACCUUGCGCCCCUUGGUAUUCCGAGGGGCAUGCCUGUUUGAGUGUCGUGUUAAUCUCAAAUCACUUGUCUUUUGACUUGCGAUUUGGACUUGGAGGCUUAUUGCUGGCGCGAGGGAUGACUUUGUUGUUGUUGCUCGUUGGAUUCGGCUGCUCCUCAUAGAUGUAUUAGCAGGACGUUGGUUCUCGUUGGUGGUGUAGUAAGUGUAUUAUUAUGCUGCAUCGGCGCACUGGCCGACUAAGCGGCUGCUACGGUGGGGCCGUGUUACAAUUUAUUUUGUAAUAGGACAAGGAUCCCUUAGUGGCCUUGAAAUUUGAUACAUUUGACCUCAAAUCAGGUAGGACUACCCGCUGAACUUAAGCAUAUCAAUAAGGAGAAGAA
rnacentral:rRNA from 1 species